GCGGAACUGUCGCACAGAGUACAGGUUCAGUCAGAUACAGGGCUCUGCUAGUCUGUCCUCCACUUACCACAUCUCUUCUGAUAGAAUUCGCUUCUCCUCUGCCGUUGCUGCGUCGGUGCCGGCGGCUCGCUGUUCUCGGCGUUUCUCUUCUGCCGCUGCCGCGUCGAUGCCGGCGGCUCGCUGGAUCCCGGUGUUUUCCUCGUGGGAUUGACUGUCGUGAAAUGGCUAAGUAACGAUAUAUUUAAGAGAAACUAGAGAUAUAAAAAGGGGAUGCAGCGAUGCAGCGCGCUGUGACGAACCUUCUUAAGGUUCGUUACAACUGGAUGCAUCAAAUGGACCAAUGGUCCAGUGCUUUUAUCUCUCCUUCUUCCUCUACAAGGGACGAGAUCGGGGCCCCUCCAUCAGCUGGUCCAGUGACUCUAUCUCUGUCUUUUCCUCUCCAAGAGACGACAUCGGGGUCGCCUUCUUCAGCUGGUCCAAUGAUUGUACCUCCAUUUCGUACAAUAUUUGAUAAUUUUGUAUCGAAAAGAUGUAUGCGAAAUUUGGUAAAAUCCGAGUGGACGGUUUGGACAGCAACUUUAUGCACGAUCUAUUCGGGGCAUAUUGCGACCACCUGAAUGGGAAACCCAAACGCAACCGCAUAUUACAAAGAAAAGCUAAAAUGAGCGUGACAUUUGGCACAAUAAAAACCAUUUACGAGGUUCGUCCAGCCGAUGUGAUGAAGUUCUAUAUUUCUUUCCUGAAGGAAAGUAGUAAAACUAAGUAAAAUAACUUUAUAAAAUAAUCUUCUCAUAAUGUAUUGUAUUCCAGUCGAGGCCGUUCAGGAACCCGAGUACAUGGCUGAGCCGAAGGCCGUCCUGAUGCCUGAUGCUGCUGAGCCGGAGAUCGACGACAUGGCCGUCGUGGAUGCUGCUGAGCCGGAGAUCGACGAGCAGCAGGAGACGGACGAGGAAUCGCUCACGUCCAUGUGUAUAACAAAGAUCGAGAAGCUGCCAGACCCUGCUAAUCCUACUCCUGCCAAAAGUACCAGUCCAAUUGCGGAAAGUACUACAGUAAUGCCGUCCCACAAUGAACAGUCGAUCGGUGUACAGUGCAAAUUAUGUAAAAAAGUGAUCGCAAAGGCAAGCAAUUUAGGCUCCCAUAUUUUGACGCAACACUACACCGCGCCUAAAGCAAUGGUAGCGCAGGACUCGGAAACUAUGACUCGGAUAAAUGAAGCCUUCGAUACCAAAAAAAUAAACAGUGUUUUAGCACUGUCAUGUCAAACGAAGGUGCCGCUGGAAUAUAUGUAUGUAUGCGGCCUAUCAUGAUGUGCUGCAGCCAAUUUAAGAAGGUUGGACGUAAAUUGUGGGCCCGCAAGACUGUAGAGGAAAUUCUGCUGGAAGAGACGAAAAAAAUAAACUGAAUUCAAUUAAAUUAUAUUUAUAUAUACAUAUG